GGUAAGGAAUAACGUCGAGAAAUCGGCGCUAAUACCUCAUAAUGCAGCGGAUCCGCAUGGAUAUGUUGUUAAAGGUUUACCGCCUUGGGAUAGGCUUGCGUCUGAUUAGCUAGUUGGUGUGGUAAUGGCACACCAAGGCUACGAUCAGUAACUGGUCUGAGAGGAUGAUCAGUCACACUGGAACUGAGACACGAUCCAGACUCCUACGGGAGGCAGCAGUGAGGAAUAUUGGGCAAUGCACGAAAGUGUGACCCAGCAACGCCGCGUGGAGGAUGAAGGUAUUCUAUAUCGUAAACUCCUGUGAGAGCAGACGAAAGACAGAUUAUUAAUUUGGAUGACUGUAUGCUCAGAGGAAGCCCCGGCUAACUACGUG
rnacentral:rRNA from 1 species